AUUGAACGCUGGCGGCAUGCUUUACACAUGCAAGUCGAACGGCAGCGCGGGGGCAACCUGGCGGCGAGUGGCGAACGGGUGAGUAAUAUAUCGGAACGUACCCAAGAGUGGGGGAUAACGUAGCGAAAGUUACGCUAAUACCGCAUACGAUCCAAGGAUGAAAGCGGGGGAUCGCAAGACCUCGUGCUCCUGGAGCGGCCGAUAUCUGAUUAGCUAGUUGGUGAGGUAAAGGCUCACCAAGGCGACGAUCAGUAGCUGGUCUGAGAGGACGACCAGCCACACUGGAACUGAGACACGGUCCAGACUCCUACGGGAGGCAGCAGUGGGGAAUUUUGGACAAUGGGCGCAAGCCUGAUCCAGCAAUGCCGCGUGAGUGAAGAAGGCC
rnacentral:rRNA from 1 species